rnacentral:rRNA from 1 species
UGAUCUGACGAGCUUGCUCUGAUUUGAUUUUAUCUGACAAAGAGUGGCGAACGGGUGAGUAACACGUGGGUAACCUACCUCUUAGCAGGGGAUAACAUUUGGAAACAAGUGCUAAUACCGUAUAAUACCAACAACCGCAUGGUUGUUGGUUGAAAGAUGGUUCUGCUAUCACUAAGAGAUGGACCCGCGGUGCAUUAGCUAGUUGGUAAGGUAACGGCUUACCAAGGCAAUGAUGCAUAGCCGAGUUGAGAGACUGAUCGGCCACAAUGGGACUGAGACACGGCCCAUACUCCUACGGGAGGCAGCAGUAGGGAAUCUUCCACAAUGGGCGCAAGCCUGAUGGAGCAACGCCGCGUGUGUGAUGAAGGGUUUCGGCUCGUAAAACACUGUUAUAAGAGAAGAACGGCACUGAGAGUAACUGUUCAGUGUGUGACGGUAUCUUACCAGAAAGGAACGGCUAAAUACGUGCCAGCAGCCGCGGUAAUACGUAUGUUCCAAGCGUUAUCCGGAUUUAUUGGGCGUAAAGCGAGCGCAGACGGUUAUUUAAGUCUGAAGUGAAAGCCCUCAGCUCAACUGAGGAAUGGCUUUGGAAACUGGAUGACUUGAGUGCAGUAGAGGAAAGUGGAACUCCAUGUGUAGCGGUGAAAUGCGUAGAUAUAUGGAAGAACACCAGUGGCGAAGGCGGCUUUCUGGACUGUAACUGACGUUGAGGCU